CUAUACAUGCAGUCGAGCGGAGAGUAUGGGAGCUUGCUCCCAAGUAUCUUAGCGGCGGACGGGUGAGUAACACGUGGGCAACCUGCCCUGCAGACUGGGAUAACUCCGGGAAACCGGAGCUAAUACCGGGUAAUACAUCGCACCGCAUGGUGCAAUGUUGAAAGUUGGCUUUCGAGCUAACACUGCAGGAUGGGCCCGCGGCGCAUUAGCUAGUUGGUAAGGUAAUGGCUUACCAAGGCGACGAUGCGUAGCCGACCUGAGAGGGUGAUCGGCCACACUGGGACUGAGACACGGCCCAGACUCCUACGGGAGGCAGCAGUAGGGAAUCUUCCGCAAUGGACGAAAGUCUGACGGAGCAACGCCGCGUGAGUGACGAAGGCCUUCGGGUCGUAAAGCUCUGUUGUUAGGGAAGAACAAGUACCGUUCGAACAGGGCGGUACCUUGACGGUACCUAACCAGAAAGCCACGGCUAACUACGUGCCAGCAGCCGCGGUAAUACGUAGGUGGCAAGCGUUGUCCGGAAUUAUUGGGCGUAAAGCGCGCGCAGGCGGUCUUUUAAGUCUGAUGUGAAAGCCCACGGCUCAACCGUGGAGGGUCAUUGGAAACUGGAGGACUUGAGUGCAGAAGAGGAGAGUGGAAUUCCACGUGUAGCGGUGAAAUGCGUAGAUAUGUGGAGGAACACCAGUGGCGAAGGCGGCUCUCUGGUCUGUAACUGACG
rnacentral:rRNA from 2 species